rnacentral:rRNA from 1 species
GACAGAGGGUGCAAACGUUGUUCGGAAUUACUGGGCGUAAAGCGCGUGUAGGCGGCUUGGCAAGUCGGGUGUGAAGGCCCUGGGCUCAACCUAGGAAGUGCACUCGAAACUGCCUCGCUGGAGUGCCGGAGAGGAAAGCGGAAUUCUCGGUGUAGAGGUGAAAUUCGUAGAUAUCGAGAGGAACACCGGUGGCGAAGGCGGCUUUCUGGACGGUUACUGACGCUGAGACGCGAAAGCGUGGGGAGCAAACAGG